AAACCAACAGGGAUUGCCUUAGUAACGGCGAGUGAAGCGGCAAAAGCUCAAAUUUGAAAUCCAGUACCUUCGGUGCUCGAGUUGUAAUUUGAAGAUGGCGACUUUGGGGGUGGCCUUUAUCUAUGUUCCUUGGAACAGGACGUCACAGAGGGUGAGAAUCCCGUCUGAUGAGGUGAUCCACUCCUUUGUAAAGCGCUUUCGAAGAGUCGAGUUGUUUGGGAAUGCAGCUCUAAGUGGGUGGUAAAUUCCAUCUAAAGCUAAAUAUUGGCGAGAGACCGAUAGCGAACAAGUACAGUGAUGGAAAGAUGAAAAGAACUUUGAAAAGAGAGUGAAAAAGUACGUGAAAUUGUUGAAAGGGAAGGGUAUUAGAUCAGACUUGGCGUAGCGUGAUUAUCUUCCUCUUGUGGGAUGUGCACUCGCGCUGCUGCUGGGCCAGCAUCGAUUGGGACGGCGGGAUAACCGCGUGGGAACGUGGCACUGCUUCGGCGGUGUGUUAUAGCCCGCGUCUAUACCGCCUGGCUCGAUCGAGGACUGCGUCUUUAUGACUAGGAUGCUGGCGUAAUGAUCUAAUAUCGC
rnacentral:rRNA from 1 species